rnacentral:rRNA from 1 species
CCUACGGGAGGCAGCAGUGAGGAAUAUUGGUCAAUGGACGAGAGUCUGAACCAGCCAAGUAGCGUGAAGGAUGACUGCCCUAUGGGUUGUAAACUUCUUUUAUAUGGGAAUAAAACAGGGUAUGCAUACCCUCUUGUAUGUACCAUAUGAAUAAGGAUCGGCUAACUCCGUGCCAGCAGCCGCGGUAAUACGGAGGAUCCGAGCGUUAUCCGGAUUUAUUGGGUUUAAAGGGAGCGUAGGUGGCUUGUUAAGUCAGUGGUGAAAGUUUGUGGCUCAACCGUAAAAUUGCAGUUGAAACUGGCGGUCUUGAGUACGUUAGAGGUAGGAGGAAUGCGUGGUGUAGCGGUGAAAUGCUUAGAUAUCACGAAGAACUCCGAUUGCGAAGGCAGCUCACUAAGCUGUGACUGACACUGAUGCUCGAAAGUGUGGGUAUCAAACAGGAUUAGAUACCCGUGUAGUC